GGGUUGUGAGGUUAAGCGACUAAGCGUACACGGUGGAUGCCCUGGCAGUCAGAGGCGAUGAAGGGCGUGCUAAUCUGCGAUAAGCGCCGGUAAGGUGAUAUGAACCGUUAUAACCGGCGAUACCCGAAUGGGGAAACCCAGUGUGAUUCGUCACACUAUCAUUAACUGAAUCCAUAGGUUAAUGAGGCGAACCGGGGGAACUGAAACAUCUAAGUACCCCGAGGAAAAGAAAUCAACCGAGAUUCCCCCAGUAGCGGCGAGCGAACGGGGAGGAGCCCAGAGCCUGAAUCAGCAUGUGUGUUAGUGGAAGCGUCUGGAAAGGCGCGCGAUACAGGGUGACAGCCCCGUACACAAAAGCGCAUGUGCUGUGAGCUCGAUGAGUAGGGCGGGACACGUGGUAUCCUGUCUGAAUAUGGGGGGACCAUCCUCCAAGGCUAAAUACUCCUGACUGACCGAUAGUGAACCAGUACCGUGAGGGAAAGGCGAAAAGAACCCCGGCGAGGGGAGUGAAAAAGAACCUGAAACCGUGUACGUACAAGCAGUGGGAGCACAGGUUUACCUGUGUGACUGCGUACCUUUUGUAUAAUGGGUCAGCGACUUAUAUUCUGUAGCAAGGUUAACCGUAUAGGGGAGCCGGAGGGAAACCGAGUCUUAACCGGGCGUUAAGUUGCAGGGUAUAGACCCGAAACCCGGUGAUCUAGCCAUGGGCAGGUUGAAGGUUGGGUAACACUAACUGGAGGACCGAACCGACUAAUGUUGAAAAAUUAGCGGAUGACCUGUGGCUGGGGGUGAAAGGCCAAUCAAACCGGGAGAUAGCUGGUUCUCCCCGAAAGCUAUUUAGGUAGCGCCUCGUGAAUUCAUCUCCGGGGGUAGAGCACUGUUUCGGCUAGGGGGCCAUCCCGGCUUACCAACCCGAUGCAAACUGCGAAUACCGGAGAAUGUUAUCACGGGAGACACACGGCGGGUGCUAACGUCCGUCGUGAAGAGGGAAACAACCCAGACCGCCAGCUAAGGUCCCAAAGUCAUGGUUAAGUGGGAAACGAUGUGGGAAGGCCCAGACAGCCAGGAUGUUGGCUUAGAAGCAGCCAUCAUUUAAAGAAAGCGUAAUAGCUCACUGGUCGAGUCGGCCUGCGCGGAAGAUGUAACGGGGCUAAACCAUGCACCGAAGCUGCGGCAGCGAC
rnacentral:rRNA from 1 species